CGAGACAAAGCCAAACCUGUCGCAAGACAGGGACGGAAAGCCACGGGUCUGUGAAGUGUGAAGAUAGUCGGGUUGCCUUGG
rnacentral:ncRNA from 1 species